GCAAGUCGAACGGUAACAGGCCCUUCGGGGUGCUGACGAGUGGCGGAGGGGUGAGUAACGCGUAGGAAUUUGCUCAGUAGUGGGGGACAACUUUGGGAAACCCAAGCUAAUACCGCAUACGCCCUACGGGGGAAAGAGGGAAAUCUUCGGACCUCGCGCUAUUGGAUGAGCCUGCGUCGGAUUAGCUAGUUGGUAGGGUAAAGGCCUACCAAGGCGACGAUCCGUAGCUGGUUUGAGAGAACGAUC
rnacentral:rRNA from 1 species